rnacentral:rRNA from 1 species
CCUACGGGAGACAGCAGUGGGGGAUAUUGCACAAUGGGGGGAACCCUGAUGCAGCGACGCCGCGUGGGUGAAGAAGCGCCUCGGCGCGUAAAGCCCUGUCAGCAGGGAAGAAAAUGACGGUACCUGAAGAAGAAGCCCCGGCUAACUACGUGCCAGCAGCCGCGGUAAUACGUAGGGGGCAAGCGUUAACCGGAUUUACGGGGAGGAAAGGGGGCGCAGACGGCGAUGCAAGCCAGGGGUGAAAGCCCGGGGCCCAACCCCGGGACUGCUCUUGGAACUGCGUGGCUGGAGUGCAGGAGGGGCAGGCGGAAGUCCUGGUGUAGCGGUGAAAUGCGUAGAUAUCAGGAGGAACACCGGUGGCGAAGGCGGCCUGCUGGACUGCAACUGACGUUGAGGCCCGAAAGCGUGGGGAGCAAACAGGAUUAGAUACCCUUGUAGUC